UAGGGAAUCUUCGGCAAUGGACGAAAGUCUGACCGAGCAACGCCGCGUGAGUGAAGAAGGUUUUCGGAUCGUAAAACUCUGUUGUUAGAGAAGAACAAGGACGUUAGUAACUGAACGUCCGCUGACGGUAUCUAACCAGAAAGCCACGGCUAACUACGUGCCAGCAGCCGCGGUAAUACGUAGGUGGCAAGCGUUGUCCGGAUUUAUUGGGCGUAAAGCGAGCGCAGGCGGUUUCUUAAGUCUGAUGUGAAAGCCCCCGGCUCAACCGGGGAGGGUCAUUGGAAACUGGGAGACUUGAGUGCAGAAGAGGAGAGUGGAAUUCCAUGUGUAGCGGUGAAAUGCGUAGAUAUAUGGAGGAACACCAGUGGCGAAGGCGGCUCUCUGGUCUGUAACUGACGCUGAGGCUCGAAAGCGUGGGGAGCAAACAGG
rnacentral:rRNA from 1 species